rnacentral:rRNA from 1 species
GACGAUCGCUGGCGGCGUGCCUAAUACAUGCAAGUAGAACGCUGAAGAGAGGAGCUUGCUCUUCUUGGAUGAGUUGCGAACGGGUGAGUAACGCGUAGGUAACCUGCCUUGUAGCGGGGGAUAACUAUUGGAAACGAUAGCUAAUACCGCAUAACAAUGGAUGACACAUGUCAUUUAUUUGAAAGGGGCAAUUGCUCCACUACAAGAUGGACCUGCGUUGUAUUAGCUAGUAGGUGAGGUAAUGGCUCACCUAGGCGACGAUACAUAGCCGACCUGAGAGGGUGAUCGGCCACACUGGGACUGAGACACGGCCCAGACUCCUACGGGAGGCAGCAGUAGGGAAUCUUCGGCAAUGGGGGCAACCCUGACCGAGCAACGCCGCGUGAGUGAAGAAGGUUUUCGGAUCGUAAAGCUCUGUUGUAAGUCAAGAACGGGUGUGAGAGUGGAAAGUUCACACUGUGACGGUAGCUUACCAGAAAGGGACGGCUAACUACGUGCCAGCAAGCGCGGUAAUACGUAGGUCCCGAGCGUUGUCCGGAUUUAUUGGGCGUAAAGCGAGCGCGGCGGUUUGAUAAGUCUGAAGUUAAGGCUGUGGCUCAACCAUAGUUCGCUUUGGAAACUGUCAAACUUGAGUGCAGAAGGGGAGAGUGGAAUUCCAUGUGUAGCGGUGAAAUGCGUAGAUAUAUGGAGGAACACCGGUGGCGAAAGCGGCUCUCUGGUCUGUAACUGACGCUGAGGCUCGAAAGCGUGGGGAGCGAACAGGAUUAGAUACCCUGGUAGUCCACGCCGUAAACGAUGAGUGCUAGGUGUUGGAUCCUUUCCGGGAUUCAGUGCCGCAGCUAACGCAUUAAGCACUCCGCCUGGGGAGUACGACCGCAAGGUUGAAACUCAAAGGAAUUGACGGGGGCCCGCACAAGCGGUGGAGCAUGUGGUUUAAUUCGAAGCAACGCGAAGAACCUUACCAGGUCUUGACAUCCCGAUGCUAUUUCUAGAGAUAGAAAGUUACUUCGGUACAUCGGUGACAGGUGGUGCAUGGUUGUCGUCAGCUCGUGUCGUGAGAUGUUGGGUUAAGUCCCGCAACGAGCGCAACCCCUAUUGUUAGUUGCCAUCAUUCAGUUGGGCACUCUAGCGAGACUGCCGGUAAUAAACCGGAGGAAGGUGGGGAUGACGUCAAAUCAUCAUGCCCCUUAUGACCUGGGCUACACACGUGCUACAAUGGUUGGUACAACGAGUUGCGAGUCGGUGACGGCGAGCUAAUCUCUUAAAGCCAAUCUCAGUUCGGAUUGUAGGCUGCAACUCGCCUACAUGAAGUCGGAAUCGCUAGUAAUCGCGGAUCAGCACGCCGCGGUGAAUACGUUCCCGGGCCU